rnacentral:lncRNA from 1 species
CCACUUGCGUUUUUGUUAUGCGCAUAGAACUUCUCAUUAAGCAAGGACACCGCGCUCAUCGUGAACUUCUCACUGAAGCUUCUCCUUUCUUAAGAAGAACAGGUGAGAGUGCUGCCUGUUCAUUAAGCAAGAAGAAGAUUGUGUUAGUUACAGAUUAUAGUUGAAAAACAAAAAAAGAAAAAGAAACACCAGGACCAAGAUUCCUAGCAUACCGAAGCAUUCCAGGGGACAUAUAUCGAAGCAUUUUAUUUCAGGAUCGCAUUUUCAAGAUCCCUAGCUAGCAUACCAGGAUAGCGAAACAGAUC